CCUACGGGUGGCUGCAGUGGGGGAUAUUGCACAAUGGGGGGAACCCUGAUGCGGCGACGCCGCGUGGGUGAAGGAGUAUUUCGGUAUGUAAAGCCCUAUCGGCAGGGAAGAAAGUGGACGGUACCUGACUAAGAAGCCCCGGCUAACUACGUGCCAGCAGCCGCGGGAAUACGUAGGGGGCAAGCGUUAUUCGGAUUCACUGGGUGUAAAGGGAGCGUAGACGGCCAUGCAAGCCAGGGGUGAAAGCCCGGGGCCCAACCCCGGGACUGCCCUUGGAACUGCAUGGCUGGAGUGCGGGAGGGGCAGGCGGAAUUCCUGGUGUAGCGGUGAAAUGCGUAGAUAUCAGGAGGAACACCGGCGGCGAAGGCGGCCUGCUGGACCGCGACUGACGUUGAGGCUCGAAAGCGUGGGGAGCGAACAGGAUUAGAUACCCGAGUAGUC
rnacentral:rRNA from 1 species